AUUGAACGCUGGCGGCAUGCCUUACACAUGCAAGUCGAACGGUAACAGGUCUUCGGAUGCUGACGAGUGGCGGACGGGUGCGUAAUACAUCCGAACGUGCCCGAUCGUGGGGGAUAACGAGGCGAAAGCUUUGCUAAUACCGCAUACGAUCUACGGAUGAAAGCGGGGGAUCUUCGGACCUCGAGCGGGCGGAGCGGCCGAUGGCAGAUUAGGUAGUUGGUGGGGUAAAAGCUUACCAAGCCGACGAUCUGUAGCUGGUCUGAGAGGAUGAUCCGCCACACUGGGACUGAGACACGGCCCAGACUCCUACGGGAGGCAGCAGUGGGGAAUUUUGGACAAUGGGCGAAAGCCUGAUCCAGCAAUGCCGCGUGCAGGAUGAAGGCCUUCGGGUUGUAAAAUGCUUUUGUACGGAACGAAAAGCCGCUUUCUAAUAAAGAGGGGUCAUGACGGUACCGUAAGAAUAAGCACCGGCUAACUACGUG
rnacentral:rRNA from 1 species